rnacentral:rRNA from 1 species
AGUGAACGCUGGCGGUAGGCCUAACACAUGCAAGUCGAACGGCAGCACAGUAAGAGCUUGCUCUUACGGGUGGCGAGUGGCGGACGGGUGAGGAAUACAUCGGAAUCUACUUUUUCGUGGGGGAUAACGUAGGGAAACUUACGCUAAUACCGCAUACGACCUACGGGUGAAAGCAGGGGAUCUUCGGACCUUGCGCGAUUGAAUGAGCCGAUGUCGGAUUAGCUAGUUGGCUGGGUAAAGGCCCACCAAGGCGACGAUCCGUAGCUGGUCUGAGAGGAUGAUCAGCCACACUGGAACUGAGACACGGUCCAGACUCCUACGGGAGGCAGCAGUGGGGAAUAUUGGACAAUGGGCGAAAGCCUGAUCCAGCCAUACCGCGUGAGUGAUGAAGGCCUUCGGGUUGUAAAGCCCUUUUGUUGGGAAAGAAAAGCAGCAGAUUAAUACCCCGCUGUUCUGACGGUACCCAAAGAGUAAGCACCGGCUAACUUCGUG